GCCCAGACUCCUACGGGAGGCAGCAGUCGAGAAUCAUUCACAAUGGGGGAAACCCUGAUGGUGCGACGCCGCGUGGGGGAAUGAAGGUCUUCGGAUUGUAAACCCCUGUCAUGUGGGAGCAAAUUAAAAAGAUAGUACCACAAGAGGAAGGGACGGCUAACUCUGUGCCAGCAGCCGCGGUAAUACAGAGGUCCCAAGCGUUGUUCGGAAUCACUGGGCGUAAAGAGUUCGUAGGCGGCAUGUAAAGUCAGGUGUUAAAGGCGCAGGCUCAACCUGUGUAUGGCACUUGAUACUUGCAAGCUGGAAUGCGGUAGAGGUAAAGGGAAUUCCUGGUGUAGCGGUGAAAUGCUUAGAUAUCAGGAGGAACAUCGGUGGCGUAAGCGCUUUACUGGGCCGUAAUUGACGCUGAGGAACGAAAGCCAGGGUAGCAAAUGGGAUUAGAUACCCUAGUAAA
rnacentral:rRNA from 1 species